rnacentral:rRNA from 1 species
UACCCGCAGCACAAGUGGUGGUCAUUAUUAUUGGGCCUAAAGCGUCCGUAGCUGGCUUGUUAGAUGCCUGGGUAAAUCGAUGCGCUUAACGCAUCGAAUUCCGGGUAGACCGGCAAGCUCGAGACCGGGAGAGGUGUAGGCUACUCGGGGGGUAGGGGUAAAAUCCUGUAAUCCUCCGGGGAGGACCAGUGGCGAAGGCGCUACACUAGAACGGCUCUGACAGUGAGGGACGAAGCCCUGGGGCGCAAACCGG